GCCUACGGGGGGCAGCAGUGGGGGAUAUUGCACAAUGGGGGGAACCCUGAUGCAGCGACGCCGCGUGGGUGAAGGAGCGUUUCGGCGCGUAAAGCCCUAUCGGCAGGGAAGAAAAUGACGGUACCUGACUAAGAAGCCCCGGCUAACUACGUGCCAGCAGCCGCGGUAAUACGUAGGGGGCAAGCGUUAUCCGGAUUUACUGGGUGUAAAGGGAGCGUAGACGGCCAGACAAGUCAGAAGUGAAAGCCCAGGGCUCAACUCUGGGACUGCCUUUGAAGCUGCCGGGCUGGAGUGCAGGAGAGGGA
rnacentral:rRNA from 1 species